rnacentral:rRNA from 1 species
CAGUAGCCGCGGUAAUACGAAGGGGGCUAGCGUUGUUCGGAAUCACUGGGCGUAAAGCGCACGUAGGCGGACUUUUAAGUCAGGGGUGAAAUCCCAAGGCUCAACCUUGGAACUGCCUUUGAUACUGGAAGUCUUGAGUUCGGGAGAGGUGAGUGGAACUGCGAGUGUAGAGGUGAAAUUCGUAGAUAUUCGCAAGAACACCAGUGGCGAAGGCGGCUCACUGGCCCGAUACUGACGCUGAGGUGCGAAAGCGUGAGGAGCAAACAGGAUUAGAUACCCCGGUAGUCCCUGUCUCUUAUAC